rnacentral:lncRNA from 1 species
GUUCUCUUUGUGUUAUUGUGAAACUUAAAUGUGUUUAGUGAUGUGAUAUUAAUAAUUAAAAAAUUCUGAAAAAAAAAAUGCAACUGGAAUUGAAGUUGUGAGGAGAUGCUUUAAGUUCAAAUAUGGAUAUUUUUCUCCUAUUCCUGUUUCAAUAGCUGGGAGUCAAGAGCCAGAAUAUUUUCAGUAUCCACACUCUCUUAAUGUAAUGUUAGCAUAAGAUUGGAGCUUAUGAAAUUACGACACCUGUGCCACCCCUCCAUCUACCUAUUUCUAAAAGGAUUACCUCUCAAGCAGAAGGACACUUUCAAACAUGAUUAUGUUUAUCUAGACUGAUUACCUUUAGAAAAAAAAUACCUGUUCUGUUAAUAAAAAAUCCGCCACUAGACCCUGACAAGUGAUAACUAUACAAAGGAUAAUUUCUUUAUGUUAUCUAUAGAAAUUUUAAACUUGCUGUCUCCUAAAGAAAUUUUAAUUGGUUUCAAGGGCCAAUAUUUCCUUGCUGCAGAUUUCCUAACUGUAUUUUCUUUUCUUCUUUACGCCAAACGACAGGGAGAUUCUGCACUGAACCUUUGUCCAUGUAUCUGACCAACUUGCUAGAUGGCCAGAAGGCACAGGGCUGGAAAAAAGGUGCACAAGGAGUUAAAAGAAUUGUGUGGAGUUGCUUUGGAGGUGCAGAGCAAGGAUUUGGAGUGCUAGAUGGGAUUGAAUUAUUUUUCACUGAAGAAGUUGUGAGAUGGCAAAAGGCCAGAGAACAGUGUUCCUCAGGGAGGUGAGAACUAAAAUGUAGCUGAGAUUUAUUUUGUCUUUGCUGCAAACAAAAAAUACUUUUGAUCAUUUCAGAAUGACUAGAAUAGAAGUGAAUUUAACAAAUAGUUAAAGGGUUAACAAGGAGUUUCUGCCUUUCUGGUUGGAGUGAAGAGGAGAAAUUCAGCAAGAAAAUGACAUUCCCAUUUUAUCCCCUACCUCAGUUUAGUUGGUCAGCAGAGAAACACAUUCAGUUUCCGUCUUGGACAGUGGGUACUUAAAUAUAUAAGCAUUCCACCUAACCAGACGUGGUCCAACCAACAAAUUUUGUUGUCUCUCUGGCUGAGUGGUAGAUAGUAAUCCAUGUGUUUUAUUUUGCACAUGAACACUUGACCCAGUAGGAUAAAGAAACUGUCUCUCUAUUGCGAGAGACUGUGUAAAUGUUUUAUAUAAAAUAGAAAAAGGUCAACAGGAUGGAAAAAAAAAAAAAAAAAAAAAAAGAAAAAAAAGGUUAAAGUGAAAGGAAACCCUGCCUAUGAAUUAUCACAUUACCUUUUUCUUGGAAAUGAAAAAUAUACAUUCAUGUCUUCUGAAACAAAUUACUCCUUUAGAUGUGUACACAAAGUGAUAGUUUAUUGUAUAAAAGAGAAAUAACUUCAUCUUCUUCUCUUUAUGCAUUUUUUUUUAAUCUAGAUGAUUGAUUUUCUAUUUUUUUAUUUUAUUUAUUAUUUUUUUUCCUCCCAGUAUCAAGGAGAAAUUUGCUAUGUGUCAAACAAUUUCACUGAUACAGAUCAGUUUGAUUUUCUUUUUAGUGAGAACAGUUUUUAGUUUCUGUUAUUCCUUGCUUUGCCUUCCCACUGAAAAUAGGGUAACAGAAUGAGGACCUUCCUUUAG